GACUAAAUAUUGGCCUUAUUAUUACGCGACAAACAUACCAAGCCAACUGGCAACCCUUCGCAUCGAAUAUAAAAGCGACGCUUUGACGAAAACGAAGCAACGCAUCACCAAUAAGACGUUGUCCAGCGACGUCUACGACGCACAAAAGCAAAUUCACUUCUCGCACAAUCGUCGUGCCCUCCGGUUUGUAGUGUGAUCGCGUCAUGAUAAUCACGCGAAAAACGAUGUGGUUUCUCUGAAGCUGAUUACCGCCGUCCUAGAGCGAGAAAGAAGCACACACUUCGAGGAGGCACACGUUUCGAAGUCAACGAGAAUAAACUGCCCACCCAAGCACAUUCAACGACGCCAUUGACCACGCCAACGCAAGCCGCACAACAACCCCAUGCCAUAAGCAUCCAGAAAGGGCCGUCAAAUUGGAAAUUCGUCGUGAUUUGAAGGUGCUCUGAAGGAAAUUAAGCUGCUGACAUACCACCCAAAGACACAUCAAAAUCGUUCCACCACUGUGGAGAAGACCCGUGAUAACGAGAAGGCUCUCACCAAGAGGGCCUUCUUCAUACACGCUUCUUUGUGUAGCAACACUCUCCCAACGAUCGUUAGUGCCAUCGUGAAGGUGCGCCACAGCAGCGAGAGCACUUCAAUCACAGGACGGAACCUUAAGUGGAAAUUGAAUGUGUUGGACCAGUGCGCGCAUGUGUUAGUGAGAAAUUACCAACAGCAAAUCGUUCUCUGCGCACUCCUCGCACAGGAACCUGCGCAGCGGAUUGCUGUGUCGGUAUUAGUGCCGAGUCACUGGCACAAGAAUCAUUUCGCAUAUCGUGGUUGUGAAUCGGAUGGAAGAAGUUUGCCAACGCAUGCAUAUGUGUGUCAACAUAAAGCGAGUAUUCACAACUUCGGCAGUGCAUGCAAUCAUCAGCUCCUAGGCUGUGCAAUGGUGUUUGUGUGGGUAGCGGUGAAUCAAAUGUAAAUAAUCAUCAUCGAAGUGCGUCGCAGACUCGAAUUGAAUGCGAUCGAAGUUCAUCAACAAUCCAUCGAUUGGACUCGCUAGUAAAGCAGUCGAGCGCUCAAAUGGAGAGCGCGUUCAGAUCCUCGUCGUCAUCAUUUGCGGUUCAUCAAGGGGCCCCUGCAGCGCAUCGAGCAUCAAGUGGCAGUACAUCGGUCGCAGCUAAGUGAGCCAGGGUAGAUGUAAGGUAGGCCUAGACUAUAAGUGAAUAGAACAGAUGAUGCCAUCAAUAUAAAAUGUCUUGGUAAUGAACCGCCUCUUAUUGUUGGUUCAUUCUUAUUGGCUGCCCGAGCACCUCAUUAACAAAAGUGUGCUUUAGCCGGGCGUGAAUGAAAAGGGGAACAGGUCUCGUUCACCCAAUGAGUUGAGCUAGCGUAAUUCAUGAUCUUAUAAGCCGAUUAUCAUUAUUAUAUAGUUUUCCGCACUUGUUUGAAAGGCAAAUAGAAGAAAGAUC